GACGAACGCUGGCGGCGUGCUUAACACAUGCAAGUCGAACGAAGUGGCGAACGGGUGAGUAACGCGUAAUCAACCUGCCCUUCAGAGGGGGACACCAGUUGGAAACGACUGCUAAUACCGCAUACUGAAGGAGGGGAUUGCGUCUGAUUAGCUAGUUGGAGGGGUAACGGCCCACCAAGGCGAUGAUCAGUAGCCGGGCUGGGAGGAGGAACGGCCACAAUGGGAAUGGGAAACGGCCCAGACUCCUACGGGAGGCAGCAGGGGGGAAGCUUCCGCAAUGGACGAAAGUCUGACGGAGCAACGCCGCGUGAGUGAUGACGGCCGUCGGGUUGUAAAGCUCUGUUAAUCGGGACGCGGUACCGGAAUAGAAAGCCACGGCUAACUACGUGCCAGCAGCCGCGGUAAUUC
rnacentral:rRNA from 1 species